rnacentral:snoRNA from 1 species
AACCAAAACCUAAGCAUGACUAUUGGGUUUUCUUGAUAUUGUAUGAUAUGUGCUUUCCUCAAAACUGUUAUGAUAUCAUCCCAUCACCCAUCUGAUG